rnacentral:rRNA from 1 species
CCUACGGGCGGCAGCAGUAGGGAAUAUUGCUCAAUGGGGGAAACCCUGAAGCAGCAACGCCGCGUGGAGGAUGAAGGUUUUCGGAUUGUAAACUCCUUUUGUUAGAGAAGAUAAUGACGGUAUCUAACGAAUAAGCCCCGGCUAACUCCGUGCCAGCAGCCGCGGGAAUACGGAGGGUGCAAGCGUUACUCGGAAUCACUGGGCGUAAAGAGCGCGUAGGCGGGAUAGCAAGUCAGAGGUGAAAUCCUAUGGCUUAACCAUAGAACUGCAUUUGAAACUGUUAUUCUAGAGUAUGGGAGAGGUAGGUGGAAUUCUUGGUGUAGGGGUAAAAUCCGUAGAGAUCAAGAGGAAUACUCAUUGCGAAGGCGACCUGCUAGAACAUAACUGACGCUGAGGCGCGAAAGCGUGGGGAGCAAACAGGAUUAGAUACCCGGGUAGUC